CAAAAAUGAUAAAUGCUGAAAUCUAGCCCCUAAAUCUAUUUUAUGUGCAUAAGAGAACCGAAAGAAAUUAUUGUUCUGUGAGGAAAAUUACAACUAAGCAAGAGAGAAAAUCCUAUCUUUGUGACAUUGCACUGAUAUCAGAGAUUUCAGUGCUAACUCAUAGAGACUGAUAGGUGGUGGGGGUGUGGAGGGAGAGAGGAAGGAUAUGUUUCAAGAUCCUCACCCACAUAUUUGAAUUAGGAUACAGCCAAGAAAAGAUGCCAGGGAGGUUAUCCUCUCACCGCAGCCAACCAUUCCACACCUCCAGUCCUCACGGUUUCACUGUGCCUAGCUGAUUCCAGUUCUCAGUCAUCUGGAUUUGAGGUUUCAAGGUCUGUACAUACGGCGGCGCAUUCCCAGCUGCUCCUGCUUUGCCUUCUGCCUCAUCUUUACUUUCUCUGCUUCUCACUGCCCUUGCACAUGCCACGGUGGACUGGAUCUGUGGUGCCUCCAAGCUAG
rnacentral:lncRNA from 1 species